rnacentral:rRNA from 1 species
UACGUAGGCAGCAAGCGUUGUUCGGAGUUACUGGGCGUAAAGGGUGUGUAGGCGGUUCUUUAAGUUUGGUGUGAAGUCUCCCGGCUCAACUGGGAGGGUGCGCCGAAUACUGAGGGACUAGAGUACGGGAGAGGAAAGUGGAAUUCCUGGUGUAGCGGUGAAAUGCGUAGAUAUCAGGAGGAACACCGGUGGUGUAGACGGCUUUCUGGACCGACACUGACGCUGAGACACGAAAGCGUGGGUAGCAAACAGG